ACUCGUCUUUUAUGGCUGCAGCGGGAUCCCACCUUUAUGAUACUAUGGUCCCGUUAACGAAGUUUAGAGGGGUGUGGGAAGGUUUUGUUUGUAACAUGGCCGUACAAAAGAGCAACUGGCAUUGUUUGGGAGGGGGGCUCAAUAACCAUGAUUAGUUGGACAACCAACUGCUACCCCAAAAUGAUGGUGUUAUUGAGGGC
rnacentral:lncRNA from 1 species